UCCCCAUUCUCUUCUUUUCUUCCUCCUCCCCAACUAUGACAGUUUGCUUGCAUAUAGUGGUGAGAACACAUGCUUACUAUCUAGGUGAUCCCUGGACUAGAUUCCCAAACUCUAACUUGCUUUUCUCUUUUGUAUUUUUUUUUCUUGAGAGAUGAGAGAGGUGGUGGCUACCUCUAGAGUUCAGAAGUUCCUGGCUUCCUCAGUUAAUGCAAACUGUCCUUUGGGAGGUUAUGCCUUCAGUUGAUGCAUCUUGGAGGAGAAGAUAACCUUCAAAAGGAAGAGCAGCCCAAGCCAUGCCUUAGAUUGCCAGAAGCUAUGAACCUUGAGUGAGAUGUUCAGUCAAGCAUUUGGAAAGAUCAACUUUUCCCUGGGACAGAGAAAGACCCCACUGAUCCAAUGGGGUUAGUCUGCUGCAGAAAAUCUCCUGGCUGCCUCUUUCCCAGAGUGAGGAUAAUCAAAUGAAAAGGCCACUGAUGACUGAUGAUUUUUCAUAAAUUGACUACGAGUUCCCAGAAACUACCCCUUUUGACUGAGGACUGAACUUAAAAGAAGACAAUCAAAUCCCAGGAACAAGAAACCCACUCCUUGGUCACCAGUUUGGGGCUUUUUUCAUAUUGCUCAAGUUUCUGUGAACUUAUUGUAAGAAGGUUUUUCUGUCCUUUCACAAGAUGAUUUAAACAUCUUCCCAGUAUCUCAUUGGAGGCUCCCAGUGCCAUGGUGCCUGUUGCUAUGGGGGAACCAAGAUUUGCAGUCUUUUGACUUUGAUUAAAGACCCUUUAUUA